GACAAAAGAAGAAGAGGAUUAGAUGGGUUUUUAUCCCAAAGCAGAGGAAGGAAGAUUCCUGAUGUGGCACGGAUUGUCUUACUAAGAGGACACAAAUCUUUAGUACCGUCGUGGAAGAUAGACGCUGCAAAACAACGUUAAAGGCAAGAUGCUUCAAAAUUCAAGAUCAAGGAUUAAGUUCAAACUUGAAACCUGUACAUUUUAUUUUUUAUUUUUAUUUGUUUGCAGGUUUGUGUGUCUGAUUUCACCAGCAGCUGUUGUAGCAUUUUAUGGCACCCACUCUUACAUGGCUUCAAUUUAAAGCUAUCUGCUCUCUCUCGAACAUCCUCCGCCUCCCUGUCUGCAGUGACCACAGGCUCAGCACUUCACAACAAUUUCAUGUAGAACUCGCAGGUGGACGCAUGAGACAUGUGGACAGGACUUGCCCACAAACUGUCAACAUGGUGCUGAAGUAUUUAAUGGCUCAGAUGAUGCCAAAGCAGAGCAGCAACACAGUGGAUGUGUUUUCUCCGCUCCUGUCUUACUGUGUCUAAUCAGUCUGUUCACCUUUUCUCUUCCUGUUUGCUCCCCUCGCUUAACAGUCUGUUUUUACCCUUUUCCCUGUAAAGUUCGUGCCAUUUUCUAACAUUCUGCACUCACAUAAGAGGCUUGAAGCUUUUGAAAUAAAUGAAUCAUGUGAAAUAUUUCAGUAUUAAAAAACUUGAAAGUGUG